rnacentral:rRNA from 1 species
CCUACGGGUGGCAGCAGUUUCGAAUCAUUCACAAUGGGCGAAAGCCUGAUGGUGCGACGCCGCGUGAGGGAUGAAGGUCUUCGGAUUGUAAACCUCUGUCACCGGGGAAGAAACGCUUUGAGCUAAUAGUUCAAAGCCUGACUUAACCCGGAGAGGAAGCAGUGGCUAACUCUGUGCCAGCAGCCGCGGUAAUACAGAGACUGCAAGCGUUAUUCGGAUUCACUGGGCGUAAAGGGUGCGCAGGCGGCCGUGUGUGUGAGGCGUGAAAGCCCGGAGCUUAACUCCGGAAUUGCACCUCAAACUACACGGCUAGAGCAUUGGAGAGGGUAGCGGAAUUCACGGUGUAGCAGUGAAAUGCGUAGAUAUCGUGAGGAACACCAGAGGCGAAGGCGGCUACCUGGACAAUUGCUGACGCUCAGGCACGAAAGCGUGGGGAGCAAAAGGGAUUAGAUACCCCUGUAGUC